GAUGCUGAACAAAGCAUAAGAACACAAAGCUAAACAUAAUGGAAGAGACCCACUUAAAUUCUUCUUCAACACACAACAUUCGUUUUAUAUAUCAAAAUUGUUGAAAGAAGAAAAUCAAACUGAGAUAUCAAGGAUAAAGGAUGAAAUUCAAGGUGCAUGGAAGUGUUGGAUAUGUCAAUUGGAGAUGGCACCAGAUAUUCAAAAAUCUGAGUUGAUAUUCUUUCCAUUGUGGUACGAGCACCAUUUCUUUGCUUGUGUAGUUGAUUUUCCUUGCAAGAAAAUUUACUACCUAGACAACCAAAAAUGGAACGGCCAAGAAGGAACAUAAUUUUGGAAAGUUGUGCAAAUUCUGGUAUAUAUUUAGUAGUUAUUGUUUUUAUUUUCUUUGCUUUCUAAGUUUGCAUAUUCAAUUUAACUAACUAUUUCUUAUGUUGAUUGUUUAUACAGCAAAAUUUUUUUGCUAUAUAUCUCAAAGAGAGACAGCAUCCUGAAGCUCAAAACUUUGAGACAUAUAUUAUACAAAAUAUUGAAUUUGACUGGCAAAAAAAGACAACAAAUAGUGACUGUGGUGUCUAUUUAAUGAACCACAUGCUGAAUUUCCAAGGCAAAGCAUACGAAUGCAGAGAUCUCUGCGAGGCUGCUGGAAGGAGAAAACUUAGAUGCCAAUACACAUCAGCAAUACUAUUAUCAGAAAUUAAUGAAUUGAGAGAUGAUGUUCGUCAAAGAGUAAUAGAGUUUGUGAACAAAUGAGGUUGAUGCCAGUAUGGUUUUAUUUUGGUACAAACAUAAGUGGUAGUUGAACUUAGGAGAAUUUCUAUAUUUCCUUUUCUUGUUGGCCGAAAAUGGACACUUGGGUUUUUGCUUUUGAUGCUAAGUUUUUGAGAUCAUGCUCGAAUGGGAUCCAAAGGGGAAGCAGGGCCCCAUGACGCCUCUACCUGAUGUUGUGACUAUCCAUCCACCGAAGGAAGAGGAGUUUUAUGGAGCUCCACCCGUAGCUGCUGCUGCUCCACCUCCUCAUGUAGAGGAUGCAGUGGUCUAACCAGUUAUGUGAUGUCUGAAGCAAUGUUUGUAGAUAGAGCAUGUAUAAUUGUGCUUUGUAUUGUAACUAGAUGUACCCUUGCUGUGUAAUCUUUUUUGUUGUUUAUAGAGCCCCCUCUUCUUCACGCUCCGCGUCUCUGUAAUAUUGAAUAACACUAUGAGACUAUGAAAUGACACUUUGAAAUUUUGAAUAACA